ACUCCUACGGGAGGCAGCAGUGGGGAAUUUUGGACAAUGGGGGAAAGCCUGAUCCAGCAAUGCCGCGUGAGUGAUGAAGGCCUUAGGGUUGUAAAGCUCUUUCGCCCGGGAUGAUAAUGACAGUA
rnacentral:rRNA from 1 species